UCGGAAACCAGCACGAGGGGCCUGCCGAU
rnacentral:sRNA from 1 species